rnacentral:rRNA from 1 species
GAUGAACGCUGGCGGCGUGCCUAAUACAUGCAAGUCGAGCGAACUGAUUAGAAGCUUGCUUCUAUGACGUUAGCGGCGGACGGGUGAGUAACACGUGGGCAACCUGCCUGUAAGACUGGGAUAACUUCGGGAAACCGAAGCUAAUACCGGAUAGGAUCUUCUACUUCAUGGGAGAUGAUUGAAAGAUGGUUUCGGCUAUCACUUACAGAUGGGCCCGCGGUGCAUUAGCUAGUUGGUGAGGUAACGGCUCACCAAGGCAACGAUGCAUAGCCGACCUGAGAGGGUGAUCGGCCACACUGGGACUGAGACACGGCCCAGACUCCUACGGGAGGCAGCAGUAGGGAAUCUUCCGCAAUGGACGAAAGUCUGACGGAGCAACGCCGCGUGAGUGAUGAAGGCUUUCGGGUCGUAAAACUCUGUUGUUAGGGAAGAACAAGUACGAGAGUAACUGCUCGUACCUUGACGGUACCUAACCAGAAAGCCACGGCUAACUACGUGCCAGCAGCCGCCGUAAGAC